rnacentral:tRNA from 1 species
UCCCUGGCAGUCCAGGGGUUAGGACACUGUACUUCCACUGCAGGGGGUGUGGGUUCAAUCCCUGGUCAGGGAA